rnacentral:rRNA from 1 species
AUUGAACGCUGGCGGCAGGCCUAACACAUGCAAGUCGAACGGUAACAGGAAGAAGCUUGCUUCUUUGCUGACGAGUGGCGGACGGGUGAGUAAUGUCUGGGAAACUGCCUGAUGGAGGGGGAUAACUACUGGAAACGGUAGCUAAUACCGCAUAACGUCGCAAGACCAAAGAGGGGGACCUUCGGGCCUCUUGCCAUCGGAUGUGCCCAGAUGGGAUUAGCUAGUAGGUGGGGUAACGGCUCACCUAGGCGACGAUCCCUAGCUGGUCUGAGAGGAUGACCAGCCACACUGGGACGGAGACACGGUCCAGACUCCUACGGGAGGCAGCAGUGGGGAAUAUUGCCCAAUGGGCGCAAGCCUGAUGCAGCCAUGCCGCGUGUAUGAAGAAGGCCUUCGGGUUGUAAAGUACUUUCAGCGGGGAGGAAGGGAGUAAAGUUAAUACCUUUGCUCAUUGACGUUACCCGCAGAAGAAGCACCGGCUAACUCCGUGC